rnacentral:rRNA from 1 species
UGGGGAAUAUUGCGCAAUGGGGGGAACCCUGACGCAGCCAUGCCGCGUGAAUGAAGAAGGCCUUAGGGUUGUAAAGUUCUUUCGGUAUUGAGGAAGGUUGAUGUGUUAAUAGCACAUCAAAUUGACGUUAAAUACAGAAGAAGCACCGGCUAACUCCGUGCCAGCAGCCGCGGUAAUACGGAGGGUGCGAGCGUUAAUCGGAAUAACUGGGCGUAAAGGGCACGCAGGCGGUUAUUUAAGUGAGGUGUGAAAGCCCUGGGCUUAACCUAGGAAUUGCAUUUCAGACUGGGUAACUAGAGUACUUUAGGGAGGGGUAGAAUUCCACGUGUAGCGGUGAAAUGCGUAGAGAUGUGGAGGAAUACCGAAGGCGAAGGCAGCCCCUUGGGAAUGUACUGACGCUCAUGUGCGAAAGCGUGGGGAGCAAACAGGAUUAGAUACCCUGGUAGUCCACGCUGUAAACGCUGUCGAUUUGGGGGUUGGGGUUUAACUCUGGCGCCCGUAGCUAACGUGAUAAAUCGACCGCCUGGGGAGUACGGCCGCAAGGUU